rnacentral:lncRNA from 1 species
GUUUCAAGGGUGGAGUCUUACUUCAUGAUGUCUUGUGGUCAGUACAUUGAUUGACAUCUUGGCAAGUCAUACCCAUCUCAGGUGCUGUGUGGGAUUACAGGCAGUGAGAGGAGAGGCGCACUUGCAUCACACAGCCCACUCAGCAUGCAAUGCCAGAUCUUUCCCUCAUAUGGCUACAAUGUGCAUAGCUCACACACACACAGCCCAUGGAUGGCUUGCAACAUUUCACCUAAUAGAUGAAAAAGUAGGCCCAAAUUUUCAUAAUAAGACUUGUAUAGCACAAGAAAUAAAAUCAAGAAUCAAUAAAUGGGAUGGAUUCACACUGAAAAGCUUCUUCUCAGCAAAAGAAACAAUCAGUGAGGUGACGAGAGAGCCUACAGAAUGGCAACAAAUUUUUAACCACAUGCACAUUAGAUAGAGCACUAAUCUCUAGGAUACAUAAAGAACUCAAAAAACUUAACACCAAAAAAACAAACAACCCAAUCAGUAAAUGGGCGAAGAAACUGAACAGAUACUUCUCAGAAGAAGAUAUAUAAUCAAUCAACAAAUGUAUGAAAAAAUGUUCAACAUCUCUAGUAAUUAGAGAAAUGCAAAUCAAAACUAAGAUUUUAUCUCACUCUAGUCAGAAUGGCAGCUAUUAUGAAGACAACAGUAAGUGUUGGCGAGGAUGUGGGGAAAAGGCACACUCAUACACUGCUGGUGGGACUGCAAAUUGGUGCAACCAAUCUGAAAAAGCAGUAUAGAGAUUCCUUGGAAAACUUGGAAUAGAACCACUAUUUGACCCAGCUAUCCCACUCUUCAGUUUAUACCCAAAGGACUUAAAAACAGCAUACUAUAAUGAUGCAGCCACAUCAGUGUUAUAGCAGCACAAUUCACAACUUCUAACCUGUGGAACCAACCUAUAUUCCCUUCAGCAGAUGAAUGAAUAAAGAAAAUGUGGUAUAUAUACACAGUAGAAUAUUACUCAGCAUUACAAGAGAAUAAAAUCAUGGCAUUUUCAGGUAAAUGAAUGGAGAACAUUAGGUUAAGUAAAGUAAGCCAAUCCCAUAAAACCAAAGGCUG